UACGAAGGGGGCUAGCGUUACUCGGAUUGACUGGGCGUAAAGGGCGCGUAGGCGGUUUGUACAGUCAGACGUGAAAUUCCUGGGCUCAACCUGGGGGCUGCGUUUGAUACGUGCAGACUUGAGUUCGGAAGAGGGUCGUGGAAUUCCCAGUGUAGAGGUGAAAUUCGUAGAUAUUGGGAAGAACACCGGUGGCGAAGGCGGCGACCUGGUCCGUAACUGACGCUGAGGAGCGAAAAGCAUGGGGGAGCGAACAGG
rnacentral:rRNA from 1 species